rnacentral:rRNA from 1 species
UACGGGGGGGAGCAAGCGUUGUCCGGAAUUAUUGGGCGUAAAGAGCUCGUAGGCGGUUUGUCACGUCGGAUGUGAAACCCUGAGGCUCAACCUCAGGCCUGCAUUCGAUACGGGCAGACUAGAAUUCGGCAGGGGAGACUGGAAUUCCUGGUGUAGCGGUGAAAUGCGCAGAUAUCAGGAGGAACACCGGUGGCGAAGGCGGGUCUCUGGGCCGAUAUUGACGCUGAGGAGCGAAAGCGUGGGGAGCAAACAGG